rnacentral:rRNA from 1 species
AUUGAACGCUGGCGGAAUGCUUUACACAUGCAAGUCGAACGGCAGCACGGGGGCAACCCUGGUGGCGAGUGGCGAACGGGUGAGUAACAUAUCGGAACAUAUCCAGUAAUGGGGGAUAACGCAGCGAAAGUUGUGCUAAUACCGCAUACGUCCUAAGGGAGAAAGUGGGGGAUCGCAAGACCUCACGUUAUUGGAGUGGCCGAUAUCUGAUUAGCUAGUUGGUGGGGUAAAGGCCCACCAAGGCAUCGAUCAGUAGCUGGUCUGAGAGGAUGAUCAGCCACACUGGAACUGAGACACGGUCCAGACUCCUACGGGAGGCAGCAGUGGGGAAUUUUUGGACAAUGGGGGCAACCCUGAUCCAGCCAUUCCGCGUGAGUGAAGAA